AAGCCAGACUCCUACGGGAGGCGGCAGUGGGGGAUAUUGCACAAUGGGGGAAACCCUGAUGCAGCGACGCCGCGUGGGUGAAGAAGCGCCUCGGCGCGUAAAGCCCUGUCAGCAGGGAAGAAAAUGACGGUACCUGAAGAAGAAGCCCCGGCUAACUACGUGCCAGCAGCCGCGGUAAUACGUAGGGGGCAAGCGUUAUCCGGAUUUACUGGGUGUAAAGGGGGCGCAGACGGCGAUGCAAGCCAGGAGUGAAAGCCCGGGGCCCAACCCCGGGACUGCUCUUGGAACUGCGUGGCUGGAGUGCAGGAGGGGCAGGCGGAAUUCCUGGUGUAGCGGUGAAAUGCGUAGAUAUCAGGAGGAACACCGGUGGCGAAGGCGGCCUGCUGGACUGCAACUGACGUUGAGGCCCGAAAGCGUGGGGAGCAAACGGGAUUAGAUACCCCUGUACUC
rnacentral:rRNA from 1 species